rnacentral:rRNA from 1 species
GACGAACGCUGGCGGCGUGCCUAAUACAUGCAAGUCGAGCGAAUGGAUUAAGAGCUUGCUCUUAUGAAGUUAGCGGCGGACGGGUGAGUAACACGUGGGUAACCUGCCCAUAAGACUGGGACAACUCCGGGAAACCGGGGCUAAUACCGGAUAAUAUUUUGAACUGCAUGGUUCAACAUUGAAAGGCGGCUUCGGCUGUCACUUAUGUAUGGACCCGCGUCGCAUUAGCUAGUUGGUGAGGUAACGGCUCACCAAGGCAACGAUGCGUAGCCGACCGGGGAGGGUGAGCGGCAAUACUAGGACGGAGACACGGCCCAGACUCCUGCGGGAGGAAGCAGUAGGAAAUCGUCCGCAAUGGACGAAAGUCUGACGGAGCAACGCCGCGUGAGUGAUGAAGGCUUUCGGGUCGUAAAACUCUGUUGUUAGGGAAGAGCAAGUGCUAGUUGAAUAAGCUGGCACCUUGACGGUACCUAACCAGAAAGCCACGGCUAACUACGUGCCAGCCGCCGCUGUAA